rnacentral:rRNA from 1 species
UACGUAGGGGGCAAGCGUUAUCCGGAUUUACUGGGUGUAAAGGGAGCGUAGACGGCAUGGCAAGCCAGAUGUGAAAUACCGGGGCUCAACUCCGGGAGUGCAUUUGAAACUGUCCAGCUAGAGUGCAGGAGAGGUAAGCGGAAUUCCUAGUGUAGCGGUGAAAUGCGUAGAUAUUAGGAGGAACACCGGUGGCGAAGGCGGCCAACUGGGCUUUUACUGACGCUGAGGCUCGAAAGCGUGGGGAGCAAACAGGG